UGGCGGCGUGCCUAAUACAAUGCAAGUCGAACGGCUUUUCUAUGGAAGCUUGCUUCCGCUGAGAAGAUAGUGGCGAACGGGUGAGUAACACGUGGGUAACCUGCCCAUAAGAGGGGGGAUAACAUCCGGAAACGGGUGCUAAUACCGCAUAGUUUUCUUGAUCGCAUGAUCGGGAAAGAAAAGACGGCCUUUGUGCUGUCGCUUAUGGAUGGACCCGCGGCGUAUUAGUUAGUUGGUGAGGUAACGGCUCACCAAGACGAUGAUACGUAGCCGACCUGAGAGGGUGAUCGGCCACAUUGGGACUGAGACACGGCCCAAACUCCUACGGGAGGCAGCAGUAGGGAAUCUUCCGCAAUGGACGAAAGUCUGACGGAGCAACGCCGCGUGAGUGAAGAAAGGUUUUCGGAUCGUAAAACUCUGUUGUCAGAGAAGAACAAGUUGGAGAGUAACUGCUCCAGCCUUGACGGUAUCUGACCAGAAAGCCACGGCUAACUACGUGCCAGCAGCCGC
rnacentral:rRNA from 1 species